UGGUUAAACAAGGAAGGGCGCACGGUGGAUGCCUUGGCACUAGGCGCCGAAGAAGGACGGGACGAACACCGAUAUGCUUCGGGGAGCUGUAAGUAUGCUUGGAUCCGGAGAUGUCCGAAUGGGGGAACCCCUUCUCCGUCAUGGGAGAAGAUCAUCUGCCCAACUAAUUAAGCAGAUGAAGGCAGACCCGGCGAACUGAAACAUCUUAGUAGCCGGAGGAAGAGAAAGCAAACGCGAUUUCCUGAGUAGCGGCGAGCGAAACGGAAGCGAGCCCAAACCGGACGGCUUGCCGUCCGGGGUUGAAGGACACGCCAUACGGAGUGACAAAGGGGCGGCGUAGCGGAAGCGGCUUGGAACGGUCCGCCAUAGCAGGUAAGAGCCCUGUACGCGAAACGCUGCCCUCUCCGGCGUGGAUCCUGAGUACGGCGGGACACGAGAAACCCCGUCGGAAGCAGGGAGGCCCAUCUCCCAAGGCUAAAUACGACCUAGUGACCGAUAGUGAACCAGUACCGUGAGGGAAAGGUGAAAAGCACCCCGGGAGGGGAGUGAAAGAGAACCUGAAACCGUGUGCCUACAGGUGGUCAGAGCCCGUUCAUGGGUGAUGGCGUGCCUUUUGUAGAAUGAACCGGCGAGUGACGAUGGCGUGCGAGGUUAAGUUGAAGAGACGGAGCCGCAGCGAAAGCGAGUCUGAAGUGGGCGCGAAGUACGUCGACGUCGACCCGAAACCGUGUGAUCUACCCAUGUCCAGGGUGAAGGUCGGGUAACACCGACUGGAGGCCCGAACCCACGUAAGUUGAAAAUUACGGGGAUGAGGGGUGGGUAGGGGUGAAAUGCCAAUCGAACACGGAGAUAGCUGGUUCUCCCCGAAAUAGCUUUAGGGCUAGCCUCGGAGGAAGAGUCCUGGAGGUAGAGCACGGAUUGGAUGAGGGGUCCCCACAGGAUUACCGAGUUCAGUCAAACUCCGAAUGCCAGCGACUUGGUUUCCGGGAGUCAGACGGCGAGUGCUAAGAUCCGUCGUCAAGAGGGAAACAGCCCGGACCACCGGCUAAGGUCCCCAAGUAUGGAUUAAGUGGGAAAGGAUGUGGCGUUGCUUAGACAACCAGGAUGUUGGCUUAGAAGCAGCCAUCAUUGAAAGAGUGCGUAAUAGCUCACUGGUCGAGUGACGCUGCGCCGAAAAUGUACCGGGGCUAAAUCCAUCACCGAAGCCGUGGAUUCCGGAGGUCAGAUGUCAGAGGCCGGAAAUCAGAGAAAAGAGGAACGAAAAUGGCGAGCAGUUAUCGAGAAUUAAGAGUGUAUCAACUAUCUUAUGAUUUAGCACUUCAUGUGCAUCGAUUAACGCAAAGCUUUCCAGCCUUCGAAAGGUAUGAACUAGGGAGUCAACUAAGAAGAGCUGCAACAUCCAUACCUGUCAAUAUUGCCGAAGGAUAUGGCAAGAAAAGUUCUUUAGCUGACUUUAAACGAUUUUUAUUCAUCGCCCAAGGUUCAAAAGAUGAAGUGAAAGUUCUUCUUGAAAUGGCCAAAGAUCUCGAAUACAUCCCAAAGGAAGCAUUUGAUCGCCUUCUUCAUCAAUAUGAUGCAUUGGGCAAGCAAUUGUAUCGAAUGAUCCAAAAUUGGAAAACGUAUUGAUUUCUGUCUCUGGUUUUUCCGAAUUCUGGUUUCUGAUAUCUGACCUCUGGAGUGGUAGGGGAGCGUUCGGUGUGCCGUGAAGGUCGACCGUGAGGACGGCUGGAGCGCACCGAAGUGAGAAUGCCGGUAUGAGUAGCGAAAAGAAGGGUGAGAAUCCCUUCCGUCGAAAACCUAAGGUUUCCUGAGGAAGGCUCGUCCGCUCAGGGUUAGUCGGGGCCUAAGCCGAGGCCGAAAGGCGUAGGCGAUGGAUAACUGGUGGAAAUUCCAGUACCACCGAUGGCUGUCAGACCGAAGGGGGGACGCAGAAAGGUAGGGCGAGCGCGCUGAUGGAGAAGCGCGUCGAAGCGACCGAGGCUGUUGGGCAGGCAAAUCCGCCCAACGUGAAGGCUGAGGCGUGACCGCGAGGGAAAUGAAGUACCGAAGUCCCCGAUCCUCCGCUGCCGAGAAAAGCCUCUAGGAAGGGCAUCGGUGCCCGUACCGCAAACCGACACAGGUAGGUGGGAUGAGAAUUCUAAGACGCGCGGGAGAACUCUCGUUAAGGAACUCGGCAAAAUGACCCCGUAACUUCGGGAGAAGGGGUGCUCCUUGGGGUUGAAAGCCCCGGGGAGCCGCAGUGACAAGGCCCAAGCGACUGUUUACCAAAAACACAGGUCUCUGCGAAGUCGAAAGACGAAGUAUAGGGGCUGACACCUGCCCGGUGCUGGAAGGUUAAGAGGAGGGCUUAGCGCUUAGGCGCGAAGGUCCGAAUUGAAGCCCCAGUAAACGGCGGCCGUAACUAUAACGGUCCUAAGGUAGCGAAAUUCCUUGUCGGGUAAGUUCCGACCCGCACGAAAGGUGCAACGACUUGGGCACUGUCUCAACGAGAGACCCGGUGAAAUUAUAUGACCUGUGAAGAUGCAGGUCCCCCGCGACUGGACGGAAAGACCCCAUGGAGCUUUACUGUAGCUUGAUAUUGGGUUUUCGUAUCGCUUGUACAGGAUAGGCAGGAGCCAAGGAACCCGGAGCGCCAGCUUCGGAGGAGGCGCCGGUGGGAUACUGCCCUUGCGAUAUGAACAUCCUAACCUCGAACCGUGAGCCGGUUCAGGGACAGUGUCUGGUGGGCAGUUUGACUGGGGCGGUCGCCUCCCAAACAGUAACGGAGGCGCCCCAAGGUUCCCUCAGAAUGGUUGGAAAUCAUUCGCAGCGUGCAAAGGCAGAAGGGAGCUUGACUGCGAGACAGACAGGUCGAGCAGGGACGAAAGUCGGGCUUAGUGAUCCGGCGGCACCGCAUGGAAGGGCCGUCGCUCAACGGAUAAAAGCUACCCUGGGGAUAACAGGCUAAUCUCCCCCAAGAGUCCACAUCGACGGGGAGGUUUGGCACCUCGAUGUCGGCUCAUCGCAUCCUGGGGCUGAAGUCGGUCCCAAGGGUUGGGCUGUUCGCCCAUUAAAGCGGUACGCGAGCUGGGUUCAGAACGUCGUGAGACAGUUCGGUCCCUAUCCGUCGCGGGCGCAGGAAAUUUGAGAGGAGCUGUCCUUAGUACGAGAGGACCGGGAUGGACACACCGCUGGUGUACCAGUUGUUCCGCCAGGAGCAUGGCUGGGUAGCUACGUGUGGAUCGGAUAAGUGCUGAAAGCAUCUAAGCACGAAGCCGGCCUCAAGAUGAGAUUUCCCGAGAGACCCCUUAAAGACGAUAAGGUAGAUAGGUCUGAGGUGGACGCGUGGCGACACGUGGAGCUGACAGAUACUAAUCGGUCCAACGGUUUAUCCAC
rnacentral:rRNA from 1 species